UGAAAACACACAUGUUGCAUCCCUAGAGGCUGAAACACUGUAAGUAUUUCUCAGAGUCACCAGAGGACAUGUAUUUAAAAAUAUAGCCUCCUAUUUCCCUCCUGGAAUGGCUGGUUCAUUAGGUCAGUGGUGGGAUCUGUGCUUUAUUUUGAGAAAUUUAGAUUUUUGCUACAGAUAGUUCUGCUGUAGCAUAUCCACAGACCAGGAACCUACAAGUACGUUCUCCACAAGGCCCGGACCAUGUCCAUUUGUCCAUCAUCUCAACAUGGAACCUGGCACGUGAGACUGCAUUUCCAACAAGGAGUAUAUAAUGCAUGGAGAGAGGGACAACCCACAGUGACGAAGCAGAAGUGCAGAGUCCAUCCCACCUUUGUGCGUUUGCUGGGAAGUCACAGAAGAACAUGUCUGCAUCAGUGUUGCCUGGCAUUAUUUGUCCCAUCCACCAGCUGUAGAGUGAAGCUGUGCAGAGUGGAUCCCAACAGUCUGCUUCGAGCUGAGCUGAGGUCUGUGUGGUUAGAUAAAGGGGCUUUCUACUGACUGCUAUCCAGAGGUGGUUCUUGAACUUGCCAUCAUAUGAAGAGGACAGAAGAAUUUGUGAGGAAGGACUAGACCCUUACUCUGCUAUGAGAGCUACAUAUAAUUUACUACACACAUUUAGUUAUGAAAGGGAAAUGUGGGGUUUUGGAACACUCAUAGAUCCUCUUCUCUAAAGAGAUGGCGAGAUCCUUUAACUAGUGAAAGAGUAUGUUUGGGGAGUAUGAAAUCCAUUUUUAAUAACUGAUCUUUAAACUGGGUGACUAGCCCAAAGCUUAUUAUUAUUUGCUAUACUAUUCUUUUUAGUGGAGAAAACAUAUGUUACAGCAG
rnacentral:lncRNA from 1 species